UUCUAACAAUUAUUACAACAAAUUUCAAUUGCAAAUUGAUUGCGAAUCUUAAGAUAUCACCAAAAUCCUAAUAAUAGCUUCAAAUCAUAGUUUUUAUACACUUGCAUGCAAUUUUCUUUAUAUCUCACAAAUUAAGAACUCAAAUGCCACAAAAUUUAUAUGUAUAGCUUCUUUAUAUAAUAAUCUACCUCUUUUAUAAGAUUUGAGUCCAAAAUUCAUCCAAAAAUUUAAGAUAUAGCUCCAACCAUUACUAUGAAUAAAAUCACUUACUUACUGCCUUUGAUUUAGAUGCAUUAACUCCAAUCUUCUAUAACUUCUUCAUCUAAACUCCAAAUUCAUUAAAUAAUAUAUGAAUAGUGUAGUUAAGAAAGUUUUUUCUUCCAUUGUAGUUGCUGAUCUUUUGUUGCUCUCUA
rnacentral:lncRNA from 1 species